UAAUUGAAGAGUUUGAUCAUGGCUCAGAUUGAACGCUGGCGGCAGGCCUAACACAUGCAAGUCGAGCGGCAGCGACAACAUUGAACCUUCGGGGGAUUUGUUGGGCGGCGAGCGGCGGACGGGUGAGUAAUGCCUGGGAAAUUGCCCUGAUGUGGGGGAUAACCAUUGGAAACGAUGGCUAAUACCGCAUGAUAGCUUCGGCUCAAAGAGGGGGACCUUCGGGCCUCUCGCGUCAGGAUAUGCCCAGGUGGGAUUAGCUAGUUGGUGAGGUAAGGGCUCACCAAGGCGACGAUCCCUAGCUGGUCUGAGAGGAUGAUCAGCCACACUGGAACUGAGACACGGUCCAGACUCCUACGGGAGGCAGCAGUGGGGAAUAUUGCACAAUGGGCGCAAGCCUGAUGCAGCCAUGCCGCGUGUAUGAAGAAGGCCUUCGGGUUGUAAAGUACUUUCAGCAGUGAGGAAGG
rnacentral:rRNA from 1 species